GCGCCGGUAGAGGGCGGCAGAGAGCAGAGGAGACCUGGACCCCGCGCGGCUUGUGGGAGGGGGGCUCGGGAGAGAGGGUGAUGCUCCGUGGUUCCCCAGAAACGCUGGGAAAGGCUCCAAUCAAGUGUCCGAAGCAGAAUGUCUCUCCGCCAAGACUGCCAGGUUGAGCUUCGCCUGCAGCAGAAGGAAGUGCGGCAGACAUUAAGCAGCACCCGGCUCCUGGUCUGGUGCAUAGUAGGCCCUUGAUAAAUGCCCGCAGAACGACUCAGCCUGGAGGCGGGCCAGCACUGUGUGGGGGUGUAGUCCCAGCAUCCGCCUGAGCCCUCCACCCGCCUGAGCUCUCCAUCCGGGAGGCAGUUUUAAUUGGGCAGCACAUUCCUGAGGAGACACCCAUCACUUCUCGCCCGUGCCUGCCUUCCAGUUGGGAAAACUUGCUUGAGGUUAAAUGACACCUGGAUUGCCAACCUUGAGCACCCCCGCCCAGAAGUUCUGGACGACGCUGUGAGUGGGAUCUGUGUGAGGAGCUGGUGCCCUCGAGGCAGGGGGCGCGGGAGGCCCGGGAUCUGGGGCCUCCAGACUGGAAGUUCUCUUCUCCCUGAGGCUCAGCUUUAAAACCUGCGGAGGUUUGGGUUGUUCACCUCUGCAGAAAGGAUCUGAGGGAAGGAGCCUAUCCCAAGUUGGGUUAGCGCAGCAGCAAGCCCAGGACUGGCCUGGCCUGCCCGUGCCUGGUGGGACAGGAAGGAGCCAGCUGUCCAUCCUGGGAUCUGGAUGCACCUGGGCAAGGCUCACCUUGGGACAGUGGCGGCAUAGCACAGUGGCUGAGAACAUGAAUUCUGGCCUCCCUGGGCCCAGAGCCUGACUCCACCACUUACCAGCUGGAUGAUGGGGUAAGAAUUUUGUAACUUCUAUGUGCCUCAGUUUCCCCCUCUAUAAAUGGGGAGAACAAUAGUACCUUCUUUAUAGAGUUGAUAGGGCUUUACAUGAGUUCCUGCAUGUAAAGUGCUUAGGCAGGGACCUCGUACUGUCUAGGAAAUCCUCUAAGUGUAUGCUGUUGUCGUUGGCAUGUUUGUGUCUGUGCCUUACCUCCUCACUAGGCCUGCAGCUCCUUGAGGAGAGGGUCUGUCUCUUUAAGCCAAUUUGUGUCCCCGCAGGGUCCCAGCACAGGGCCUGGCCACAGUGGGUCCUCACUGACUGUUUGUGGAGUGAUGAUGGGGUCCGGGUGCCCUCUCCCCUGGCCUGCUGUCUCCCGCGGGCCCCUGCAGAGCAAUGCUGUCUCCGUGGCUGAGGCCCUUCCUCCCACAGCCCCGCCUGAGCUCCUUCAAUUUUCCCUGGCAGCUCCCACGUUCUGGACUAACUUUAGGGUUGGUUUCCAGCUGUGGUUGGAUUUUUCUGUUUGAAAAAUAUUUUAAGCAGCUGGUGGGGAAGGGGUGGAGAGGUGGGAAAAGAAUAAUAAAUAAGCUUGUGAAAGGAAGAUUGUCUAAAUGGCUUGGAGCCACCACUGCCUGCAACUUGGUCUCUGGGUCGUGCCCAGGACUGGGGAGCUAUCAGGUGGUUGGGGGUGGGGAGGGGGCACCCUGGUGGCUUCACAGGCUGAGGAGAAAGACUCACCGCCCCUCACAAGCACCUCUUGGACAUGCUUUCACUUUAUGCCCCGCAUGAAUUCUGAAAAUGCAAGAAAUAGACGGGAAAGAGUGGUUCUGCAGCAGCCAGGAUUGAGGUUAGACACUGAAAAAAACUGACUGUCAGAACUAUCCCUGAAGCCCCCCUUUAUUUCACCCAAGACUGAUGUUUCUCCAGAACUCAGCUUCCUUCUUGGCUCCUAUAAUGAGACCUCACAUAGCCUCCCACCCACCCCAGCUGCUCUUCAUUCCCUGACAACAUCCUCUGCUCCUGAACUUCCCUAAAGGGAGGGUCCCUCCUCCUGCGCCCCAGUUUUCAUCAGCUUCCUCUAAGACCCUUUUGGCUCUGCUCUACCACUGAGGCCCUCAGGCUCUUUUCUGAAAUCUUCACCUCCAUCGCCUCCCUGGGUCGAGGUGGAGAGACCUCCUGAGCGGGCAGAGGCUCAGGCCCCCCCAGAGGCAGAUGGAAGGUUCGUGCUACCCCUGUGCUGGCUGGGGAGGAUGGUAGAGACAGAGACCCACAGAAAAUCAGAGAUGGGAAAGAAACUAAAUCAUAGAGUCGAACAGAAGCCAAGUCAGAAAGCGAGUCAGAUGUGGGGAUAGGGAGUUGACAGUCACCAGGCAGUGCCCCUGGCCAGGCCUGCAUGGAAAUUCCUGUGGACUCUGAUGGCAGGAUGGGCUCAGCCCUGAGGGCUGCCUGGUGCCAUCGUGUGCUGGGGCCCAGGGGUCUCGGGCCUGGGCGGCAGGGAGGCCCUGCCCUCCUUACCCAGUUCUGCUGAGGACUCCCUCCACCUGAGUCAGAGGGGAAAGUGGGUGAUGCGCUUGUGCAGACGGGGCUCUGGAGCCUCGGGGAGCUAUUGGUGGCAGAGCAUCUCACUUAGAAGUAGGCGGCUGAGCUUCCAGGGGUAAGGCAGGAGGCCAGUGGAGCCGGGAAGUGCUGGGCCUGAGGACUGAGGAUGGGGCUGUGCUGUUGAGGAAUAAGGAGUGAUGGGUGAGGGUGGAAGGGAGCCCGUCUGGGGAUCAGGGAGCUUUGUGGGGGCGAGGACUGCCCCCACCAGGAAGUCUGGGUGGGGAGCUGUGCCUACAGUCCUCAGCAGCCUGCAGUGGGGAGGAACCCUGGGGAAGGGCAGGCUCCGUUUUGACUGGAUUGAGAGCUUUCUUCAAGGUCUCCCCAGUAGCGAUCCACACCCCUUCCUCCCCUCUGCCCUCCUAGGUUUCCCCCAGCAAGGAGGACAACAUGGGUCUAAAUCUAUCACUGACAUCUCUGCUUAUUAGCUGAUCCUUGCCACCUGGCUAACUCCGACCACAGCAAAACUGAGAGUUCCGAGGGCUUCUCAGAGGGUAUGAGAAUGGGGGUUGUACUUCCUAAUACUACUUUUGCUUAUGCUGAAUGUGAAACUUUCCAAAGCGUUUUUUUCUUACUAUGAAACAUACCAGACAUAUAUUAAAUAUAGAUGUCCAGUUUAGUAAAUAAUUAUAAAUCACACAUCUGUGUUUCCACAGCCCAGGUCAAGAAAUAGACUACUGUCAGCACCCCAGAAGUCCCGUGUCCUUCCCUGAUCACAGCCCCAUCCUUCCGCCCUGAAGGGAACCAGUGUCCUGACUUUUGUGAUCCUCAUUUCCUUGUUUGUCUUCCAAAGCAUUUAGUCUCUUAGAUGUUAUCAUCUUUGAGUUUCACAAUAACCUUCUUAUUCCCAUUUUACAGAUGAAGAAACUGAGGCUCAGAAAGGUUAAAUAAUUAGUCCAAGGCCACCCAGCAAGUAAGUGGUAAAACCAGGAUCAUAUUUGGAUUGGCUGAUGCCCAGGGCAGUUUCUUAGUCAAACCAGAAUCCACAGGAAACUCUGAGACAACCUUGGUGUUGGAGCCCGACACCCCUGUGCCCCUGAGAAGGGGAGGCCACCUUCACAGCCUGCCCAGGUGCUCCCCUCCCAGAUGUGUUGACUCACGUGACUCCGCAGGGUCCUGCUGUAUGAGUACCUGGCAGGAUGUGAUAGAGCCCAUUGGAAGUUGGGAGAGCAAGAGGAGCUGGGGGCUGAUCUGGGACGGGACCGAUGCCUAGAGAGAGCUUUGGGCCCUGCCUGACACAUGCCCAGGGAACCCGGGACUGAGAGGAUGUGCCUGAACCAGGUGUGUGCCCAAGUUUUUGCCAGAAUUACCAGGUGCGCCCUCCUUGGUGGGCCAGGUGUGCUUGGUGUGAGCAUGCAAGUGUGUUGUGCACCUGGCAUGUCCGUGUGCAUGCCCAGCUCUAGCUACACACUUGGAUUGCUCUGAACCAUUUUCCCCAUCCUCAUCUUUUUUCUGUUAAUUAUAAAAUUAUAUGUGCUUCUUAUAAAAAGUUCAAAUGUAAAGUCUCUCCUCUUCUCUAAUUCUAAUCCAAAUGAUCCUAGACUUAAUUUCUUUGAACAAUUUGGCAUUUAUCCUUCUUUCUAAGCACAUUCAAAUAUAUAGUUAUUUAGAAAGCCACAUCCAAAUGCAGUAGUUUUAGGUUUAAUUAUUUUUAACAAAAUAGUAUCAGAAUCUACAGAUUGUUUUUCACCUUUUUUUUUCACUUCGAUUCCUUGGUCGUCUUCCCUGUCACUGUGUAUGGAUUUACUUCACUGUUUUUAACAGCUGAAGAAUAUUCCAGUAAAUGGAUGUUCCAUCGUUCAUUUACCUGGGUGGACCCCUCUGUGUCCUGACUCCCCUGUUCUCCCAGAAGCUGAGAGAGUAGGUGUAAGAGGAAGGGGAGGACAAGGAGACUGGCCCUGCCCUGGGAGGCAGCCCAUCCCAGCUGCCCUUUGACCUCCUGCAAGUGGAUUCCCUUACAACCCCCCCACCCCAAGUCCUCAUCUCCCUCCCCUGUCUCCUGUCUCCGGUCCCCUUCCUUCUCCCUCCUGGCCCUUGACCUCUGUGCAGUGCUGCAGGUCUGCGCAGUGCUGCGCAGUACUGGGCGAGUUCCUGGCCUCUGAGAGGGUCUGAUCUCUGAGGACUGGGAGGAAUUUGGCUUGGGGGACCCAGAGUUCAGGAGGUUCUGCACAGCCAGCCUGCAGGACAGGGAGCGUGCCUCUUGUCAACGCUGCCCCUGGAGAGGGCACCAUGCUGAAGGUGAGACUGGCACUGCCCCCUGCCCAGAUGGCAGCUUCCUGCUUCCCAGAGGGCAUGGGUGAUGGGAACUGUGCCAGAUAGGCAUGGUGCCCCCACCCUGCACGAGAGUCAUGGAAAAUCCAGAGCCUUGAUCUUUGCUCUUGAUCACUCCUCCCCAGUUUUUACAACUGGAAACUUGCGGCCUCUUUGUUCAGGUCAGCUUGAGAGGGAGGUAUUGGGCGGGGAGGUGGUUGAGUCAGCAGCGGGGGAUACAGAACUUGGUGCUUCUGAGGACCAGCCACGACCCUUCUGUCACUCACAUUCCAGUUUACCUGUAAACAGAUGGCACUUCUGGGCACUUCUGUGCUGGGAGCAGAGGGGGCAGGGAUGGGCACAGCUUCUGUGUCCUUGCUGGGGGAGUGGUCUCCUCUCAUCCAGCAUCGGACCCCCAGCUGUACAGAGCCAUGAUCCCCUCUGCUCCAAACACUGCUAAUUCCUCCGACGUCCUGGUGGCACGUGGUUCCCGGCCCUCCUCAUUCCUCAGGGCAGGUCCAGUGUGUCUGUUUGCCAUGAGAUCCUAUUAGAAGUUUAUGGUAAGGAAACCACUUUACGAGGUUGCUUUCUUCCUCCUGCGCCUUGCUCGGCUCCUGCUGCCCUCUCCCCCCACUUCUCCCUCAUAGCCAGAGUUCAUGGAAACUUCUCAGGUCACUGAUUCUCACCUUCCUUUCCUCCUCAGGAGAGAGGGCCCAACCCCCUUCUCUGGGGCCUGCCAGCUUCUUUCCCCCAAGCCCUGCUCUUCUUGGGGGGAUGGCAUGCCCUCGGGGCUGGGGGGCUGAACCUAGAGCAGAGCGGUGCCCUCGGCCUUACCCUAUCUUCCAGCAUUGUCUGCUGGAUGAGCACAUGUGUCUCUUGCUUCCUGUGAUCUUAGAGGGGACCCUGGGGAGGGGGAGGUGAAGCAGAGAGUUGUGGCAGCCUUCACCCUGAGGUGAGGGGGGACAGGGGUGCUGAAGCAGAAAGGGAGGUGGCCCAGAUCCUCACUCGGCAGCUUCUGCCCUCAAAACCGACCCAUCACUCAAUCAGUUCACUGAUGCUGUUAGAUCAGCACCCCCUCUGAGGAACCUGUAAUCCAGCGGUGUGUAUAGGUGUGGUGGGGGGACAUGUGGCACAAGCUUGUGGACCUCCGAAGAGGGAGAUCUGAGAGAGGCUGGAGCAGUCAAGGAGGGCACGAAAGUGGGCUAUGACUUCCAGCUGGUGUGGUCACCGAGGGGUGGUAAGUGGGGUUGAGGGAGGUGGUGCUGCUUAUCUGGAACCCUCUGCUUAGGCCUUCCCUGCCUGGCUGGGGCUUGGUGGGGCUCUGCUCUGUCUGUCUGGGUGGUACGCUCACCUGGAGUCCAGAGCAGGCAGUGCAGGGCAGGGGCAACCGAGCUCCACAGGCCUGGGCUCUGAGUGCAUGGCCUUAACUUGAUGUUCUGUCUACGGGGAACCUAGGCUCCAGGCCUGGCCGGAGCAAGACUGAGAAGAGCACUACUCACCCCUGCAGGCCAGGGAGGGGCACUGGGGGCUGAGGGACCACAGGCCGGGCCUCUCCACCCCCCACAUCCGAUCCACCUGGCUGCCCAAGCGGGACAGAUUAUUUUUGCUCCUUCAGACUCUGCCGGUGCCUUUGCCCCCUUUCCAGGAGUUACUCAGUUACCAGUGUUGGUUUUCUAUUUCCAGAACAAGGCAGGGCCUCUCCUCCCAGCUUCCUCCACCCUGGGCCUCGACAUUUCCCCUCCAUCCAGCCUGGGGAGGAGCCCUGUGCCUGUGUCCAGGCCCAAGGGCAGGGACUCCCUCCUCUCUGAUGGGGAAGGCAGGGGAGUGAGGGAGGGUUCACCCCCCUCCCUCCUUUGUACCCCCCUCUCCUGCUUCCUCCCAGACCAUUCCCAUCGGCCAACGUGCUCUCUCUCUCUCUCUCCCAAGACCCUGGCCCCUCCAGCCACAGUCCCACUGCUCAACUCCUUUUGCAGCCACUCUCCUCACAAGAAUGGUGGACACUUGCUGCCUCUGCUCCCUCUCCAGCCUAGCUUCUGCCCCACCACCCACUCCGCCGCCCCUGUUCAUUCUAGAUUCACCAAACCCGAGGAGUGCUUCUCGCCUCCCUCC